rnacentral:tRNA from 1 species
GGGGAUUUAGCUCAGUGGUACCGCUGCCUGCCUCGAAAGCACAAGGACCUGAGUUCAAUCCCCAGGAUCCCCA